rnacentral:lncRNA from 1 species
CCACCGUUCCCGUCUAACUGCUCCGGAGCCCCUGAAACCGCGUCGAGUGACAUAAUGGCCUUGCUGCAAAAGGGGCCGGACGAGCGGUCUUGAGUGUAUCCGUUGAGGGCGGCAGUCACCUUCGAGAAAGCGUUCACCGGGCGCUGCGGGUGUGUGCGGACGCGAUUCGCUCUGCAGUGAAUGCACAACCAAAUUUCUCGGAGCGCCCUUUUGAAGCAGAAAUUAUAUAUGCUCCUGAAAUCACAUGACGUGCGACUUGUCUUUACUUUUAUUAACUUGCAAGGAUAACAAGAGUGCUAACGUCAGCCGAGAUGAUAAUAGCGCGCAGGCGCAAUAGCAUACAGUUCGAACUAGAGCCGUCUUGCCCCUGUUUGAGAGAAAACGGGAGAGAGUAUCGGUAACAA